rnacentral:rRNA from 1 species
CCUACGUGUGGCAGCAGUGGGGAAUAUUGCACAAUGGGGGAAACCCUGAUGCAGCAACGCCGCGUGAAGGAAGACGGCUUUCGGAUUGUAAACUUCUGUUCUCAGUGAAGAAUAAUGACGGUAGCCAAGGAGCUAACCACGGCCAACUACGUGCCAGCAGCCGCGGUUAUACGUAGGUUGCAAGCGUUGUCCGGAAUUACUGGGUGUAAAGGGAGCGCAGGCGGGAAGCCAAGUCAGCUGUGAAAACUUUGGGCUUAACUUGUAGACUGCAGUUGAAACUGGUUAUCUUGAGUGAAGUAGAGGUUGGCGGAAUUCCGAGUGUAGCGGUGAAAUGCGUAGAUAUUCGGAGGAACACCAGUGGCGAAGGCGGCCAACUGGGCUUUAACUGACGCUGAGGCUCGAAAGCGUGGGGAGCAAACAGGAUUAGAUACCCUUGUAGUC